rnacentral:rRNA from 1 species
UACGAAGGGGGCUAGCGUUGCUCGGAAUCACUGGGCGUAAAGGGUGCGUAGGCGGGUCUUUUAAGUCAGGGGGUGAAAUCCUGGAGCUCAACUCCAGAACUGCCUUUGAUACUGAAGAUCUUGAGUUCGGGAGAGGUGAGUGGAACUGCGAGUGUAGAGGUGAAAUUCGUAGAUAUUCGCAAGAACACCAGUGGCGAAGGCGGCUCACUGGCCCGAUACUGACGCUGAGGCACGAAAAGCGUGGGGGAGCAAACAGG